ACUUGAGUAAUUCCAAAAUAACCUCUUAGCUUCAGGUAUAACUUCUGAUCUUCCUAAAAAACAUUGAAGAAAAUAACAAGUUAGUUCUUCAAAAAGGAUUUCAGCCCGCUUUAUUUAAAAGCAACAAAUAACAAGUUAGGUUGAAAAGCUUAAAAUAGAAGUACCAUCAUGCGAAAGAAUCAUGUAAAGUCACUCCAUUGGCAUCCCUUUUGAUCUUUUAUUCAAACAUAUCAUCAUUUGCCAAUGGUAGAAGACAAGUUUUUCUCCACAUAGCAAAUUAGACAAUUACUCAUGAACUGAUCACUCAUUUUAUUACCCAACUUUUUCUUGACAACAUUCAUAGCUGAAAAGCAUCUCUCCACAGAUGUUGUGACAAUUGGCAAUAUCAACACUAGCUUUAGAUUUGAUAGACACCAAAGUAAAAAAUAACGUGCUCAUUUUUUUUGCACCAAAAACUUUAGACUCACAAUUUCUCUUUUGACCAAUUGAAUCAUAAGGCAAUUCAUCUAAAUUAAUUUCUCUCUGAAUCGAAGACUUUGGGAGACUACUUUGCAGCGACAGUUGAUACAUAUUGCGUCUAACGGGUGACCUCGACGAGCCCGCAUGAAAUUAUCGUUCCAUAGCCUAGAUCAGUCAAAGUCCAUAGAAAACAAAAUUAGAAAACUAGGGCAAAAAAAAUUCCAUACUAGAUUAGACGGUGCAUGCACAAGAAGGGUGAGAUGUGGCGAUGUGAUUACUACCUCGAAUUUUAACUGCAGUUAUGUGCUUUGCCGCUGUCGAUCUGCAAUUGUAUGCUUGCCGCCGGCGUUUGAGGAGGCGGGGACCAAGCGGCGGCGAACAUAAGACAGGACGAGACGAGCAGAGGGAGGAAAGUUGGGGGGAAGCGAAGAGGCCGGCGGCUACCGUCAUGGUACAGGCUAUAGAUCGCCAAUAAACUAAAUCAUUGAUAAGUAACGAACAUGCCUCCUAGUGGGCACGAGAGACAAUUUGUACGGGGGCUUAUAGGCCUUUUUACUGGUCCAUUCACGUGGGCUUUGCAGCUUGAUGGGGUCAGGCUUAAUUUUCUAUUGGGUUCAUAUCAAAUAAGUCGUACAUACAUGCACGUAGCCGGCAAAUUUUAUUGGGUUCAACUGAACCCAAUGCCAAUACGUUGGCUCCGCCCCUG
rnacentral:lncRNA from 1 species